CAGCGGCAGAGCUCUUAAGUGUCUAAUACGAUAUAUACAGGGUUCAUACAAGGUGCUUAAAGUGGUUGAAGUACUUGAAUUUGACUUUUUGAAAUUUAAAGCCUGGAAAACCCUUGAAAAUAGCAACAUUCUUGAAGAGGUACUAAAAGUGCUUGAAUUAUUGAAAGAUAGUGUAUUAAAUAAGUGUUUAAUUUUUAUACAAUUUUUUAAAAUCUUUUUUUUUUUUUUACACAAAAUUCAUGAAAUUAAAGAAACAAAAUACUUCUUCUCCACUUAUUUUAGUUAAUAAAACUAGUAAAAAAAGUUGGAUUGAGUAUCACUAAUCAUUUGAUUUUGAUCGAGACUUCGGAGCGGGUUCACGAAUCAUUUUGUUUAGAUCGAGACUUCGGUGCAGGUUCAUGAAUCAUUUGAUUCAGAUCGGAACUUUGGAGCAGGUUCGCAAAUCAUUUGAUUCAGAUCGAGACUUUGGUGCAGGUUCGCAAAUCAUUUGAUUCAGAUCGAGACUUUGGUGCAGGUUCGCAAAGCAUUUGAUUCAGAUCCGAACUUAGGAGCGGGUUGAAAAAUCAUUUGAUUGAGAUCGAGACUUUGGUGCAGGUUCGCAAAUCACUGGAUUCAGAUCGAGACUUUGGUGCAGGUUCGCAAAUCACUGGAUUCAGAUCGAGACUUUGGUGCAGGUUCGCAAAUCAUUUGAUUCAGAUCGAGACUUUGGUGCAGGUUCGCAAAUCAUUUGAUUCAGAUCGAGACUUUGGUGCAGGUUCGCAAAGCAUUUGAUUCAGAUCGGAACUUCUGAUCGGGUUUGCAAAUCAUUUGAUUCAGAUCGAGACUUUGGUGCAGGAUCGCAAAGCAUUUGAUUCAGAUCCCAAAUUCUGAGCGGGUUCGCAAAGCAUUUGAUUCAGAUCGAGACUUUGGUGCAGGUUCGCAAAGCAUUUGAUUCAGAUCCCAACUUCUGAGCGGGUUUGCAAAUCAUUUGAUUCAGAUCAAGACUCUGGUGCAGGUUCACAAAGCAUUUGAUUCAGAUCGAGACUUUGGUGCAGGUUCGCAAAGCAUUUGAUUCAGAUCUGAACUUCUGAGCGGGUUUGCAAAUCAUUCGAUUCAGAUCGAGACUUUGGUGCAGGUUCGCAAAGCAUUUGAUUCAGAUCCGAACUUAGGAGCGGGUUGAAAAAUCAUUUGAUUCAGAUCGAGACUUUGGUGCAGGUUCGCAAAUCACUGGAUUCAGAUCGAGACUUUGGUGCAGGUUCGCAAAUCAUUUGAUUCAGAUCGAGACUUUGGUGCAGGUUCGCAAAGCAUUUGAUUCAGAUCGGAACUUCUGAUCGGGUUUGCAAAUCAUUUGAUUCAGAUCGAGACUUUGGUGCAGGAUCGCAAAGCAUUUGAUUCAGAUCGAGACUUUGGUGCAGGUUCGCAAAGCAUUUGAUUCAGAUCCCAAAUUCUGAGCGGGUUCGCAAAGCAUUUGAUUCAGAUCGAGACUUUGGUGCAAGUUCGCAAAGCAUUUGAUUCAGAUCCCAACUUCUGAGCGGGUUUGCAAAUCAUUUGAUUCAGAUCAAGACUUUGGUGCAGGUUCACAAAGCAUUUGAUUCAGAUCGAGACUUUGGUGCAGGUUCGCAAAGCAUUUGAUUCAGAUCUGAACUUCUGAGCGGGUUUGCAAAUCAUUCGAUUCAGAUCGAGACUUUGGUGCAGGUUCGCAAAGCGUUUGAUUCAGAUCGAGACUUUGGUGCAGGUUCACAAAGCAUUUGAUUCAGAUCGAGACUUUGGUGCAGGUUCACAAAGCAUUUGAUUCAGAUCGGAACUUCUGAGCGGGUUUGCAAAGCAUUUGAUUCAGAUCGAGACUUUGGUGCAGGUUCGCAAAGCAUUUGAUUCAGAUCGAGACUUUGGUGCAGGUUCGCAAAGCAUUUGAUUCAGAUCGAGACUUUGGUGCAGGUUCACAAAGCAUUUGAUUCAGAUCGAGACUUUGGUGCAGGUUCACAAAGCAUUUGAUUCAGAUCGGAACUUCUGAGCGGGUUUGCAAAGCAUUUGAUUCAGAUCGAGACUUUGGUGCAGGUUCGCAAAGCAUUUGAUUCAGAUCGAGACUUUGGUGCAGGUUCACAAAGCAUUUGAUUCAGAUCGGAACUUCUGAGCGGGUUUGCAAAUCAUUUGAUUCAGAUCGAGACUUUGGUGCAGGUUCGCAAAGCGUUUGAUUCAGAUCGAGACUUUGGUGCAGGUUCGCAAAGCAUUUGAUUCAGACCGAGACUUUGGUGCAGGUUCGCAAAGCAUUUUAUUCAGAUUGAGACUUUGGUGCAGGUUCGCAAAGCAUUUGAUUCAGAUCGAGACUUUGGUGCAGGUUCACAAAGCAUUUGAUUCAUAUCGGAACUUCUGAGCGGGUUUGCAAAACAUUUGAUUCAGAUUGAGACUUUGGUGCAGGUUCGCAAAACAUUUGAUUCAGAUCGAGACUUUGGUGCAGAUUCGCAAAGCAUUUGAUUCAGAUUGAGACUUUGGUGUAGGUUCGCAAAGCAUUUGAUUCAGAUCGAGACUUUGGUGCAGGUUCGCAAAGCAUUUGAUUCAGAUCGAGACUUUGGUGCAGGUUCGCGUAUCAUUUGAUUCAGAUCAAGACUUCGGUGCAGGUUCACAAAGCAUUUGAUUCAGAUCGGAACUUCUGAGUGGGUUCGCAAAUCAUUUGUUUCAGAUCGAGACUUGUGGUGGUUCGCGAAUCAUUUGAUUUAGAUCGGAACUUUUUUUUUUUAAACAGUAUGAAAACAAAACCAAAAUAAAAGAACGUAUAUGCAAAUACAAAUUCCUUAAAAUUAAAAAAAAGAAAGUUAACUGUUGUUUUAAUUUUGAAAGAGAAGACACUGUUUGAUAAGUGAGAUAAUUGAAGUCCUUGAAAAUCAAAAAAGUAGUGCUUGAAAAGUCCUUGAACGUCCUGGAGUUUCAUUUUACAGUAUUUGUACGAACCCUGUAUUUAAAACAUACUGUGUUAAAGCUGAC